UGGCUUCAUUUGGUACCUGGCACUACUCCCCUGGAAGUCAAUGGAAGAGGCCAACAGACUUCCCUGGAAGGUGAUUAAAGUCCAACGUCAGUGAAGAGCUGAAAGGCUGGAAUAUAGUUGUAGUUUCCAUGGAAAUCGAUAAGAGGCAUUAUUUUCGGAGCGACCUACGUGUUGUCAAGACCCCGCUCCACAGAACGCAUUACUGGGAAGGACUUCAUGACGACACAACAGGCACUUUGAGAAGGGCGUGUGCCUCCUGUCCUACCCACAGCACCGCGUUAGGAACCGGGAUGGGAAGCGCAGCCAGAACACCAGUUUGCUGCCUCAGCUCCCCCAGUCUGUGCUCCUCACCUG